UUUUACUCCUACGGGAGGCAGCAGUGGGGAAUAUUGCACAAUGGGCGCAAGCCUGAUGCAGCGACGCCGCGUGAGGGAUGACGGCCUUCGGGUUGUAAACCUCUUUCAGUAGGGAAGAAGCGAAAGUGACGGUACCUGCAGAAGAAGCGCCGGCUAACUACGUGCCAGCAGCCGCGGUAAUACGUAGGGCGCAAGCGUUAUCCGGAUUUAUUGGGCGUAAAGAGCUCGUAGGCGGUUUGUCGCGUCUGCCGUGAAAGUCCGAGGCUCAACCUCGGAUCUGCGGUGGGUACGGGCAGACUAGAGUGAUGUAGGGGAGACUGGAAUUCCUGGUGUAGCGGUGAAAUGCGCAGAUAUCAGGAGGAACACCGAUGGCGAAGGCAGGUCUCUGGGCAUUUACUGACGCUGAGGAGCGAAAGCAUGGGGAGCGAACAGGAUUAGAUACCCUGGUAGUCCAUGCCGUAAACGUUGGGCACUAGGUGUGGGGGACAUUCCACGUUUUCCGCGCCGUAGCUAACGCAUUAAGUGCCCCGCCUGGGGAGUACGGCCGCAAGGCUAAAACUCAAAGGAAUUGACGGGGGCCCGCACAAGCGGCGGAGCAUGCGGAUUAAUUCGAUGCAACGCGAAGAACCUUACCAAGGCUUGACAUGUGCCAGACCGCUCCAGAGAAAUGGGGGUUCCCC
rnacentral:rRNA from 1 species